UAUAACCUCAUUUUUUAUUUUUUCGUGUCUACCGUUUGACCAUUCGUCCUAUUUAAAAAAAUUUUCGAUUAAUAUUUUUAUUGUUACUAGAUGAUAAAAUAUGAAUAGUAUUUUACACGUGACUAAUUUUUUAAAGUUUCUGUACAAUUUUUUCAAAUAAGACGAAUGGUCAAAUGUUGGACAUGAAAAAGC
rfam:Oryza brachyantha chromosome 9, whole genome shotgun sequence.